AGGGAAUCCCCAGGACGGCUCACACUUACCACUGGUCAUAAGUGCGAGCUGUCGUAAAAAAGGUAGGUCACAAAACGAGGACCACCUGUAUAGAACUACAUCCAGGUCAGGGAUAAAAAGGAAGUAUAAGGUGUAACGGAUCCCCUAUACUCCGACUGAGUAUAUCAGUUGUAAAUCUCCCAAGUCCCAAGGUGAAGCAGUGGUUAUAGCUCUG